UACGUAGGGGGCUAGCGUUGUCCGGAUUUAUUGGGCGUAAAGAGCGUGUAGGCGGCCAGGUAGGUCUGCUGUGAAAACUCGAGGCUCAACCUCGAGACGGCGGCGGAAACCAUCUGGCUAGAGUCCGGAAGAGGAGAAUGGAAUUCCCGGUGUAGCGGUGAAAUGCGCAGAUAUCGGGAGGAACACCGGUGGCGAAGGCGGUUCUCUGGGCCUUACCUGACGCUGAGGAGCGAAAGCGUGGGGAGCGAACAGG
rnacentral:rRNA from 1 species